rnacentral:rRNA from 1 species
GACGAACGCUGGCGGCGUGCUUAACACAUGCAAGUCGAACGGAAAGGCCCUGCUUUUGUGGGGUGCUCGAGUGGCGAACGGGUGAGUAACACGUGAGUAACCUGCCCUUGACUUUGGGAUAACUUCAGGAAACUGGGGCUAAUACCGGAUAGGAGCUCCUGCUGCAUGGUGGGGGUUGGAAAGUUUCGGCGGUUGGGGAUGGACUCGCGGCUUAUCAGCUUGUUGGUGGGGUAGUGGCUUACCAAGGCUUUGACGGGUAGCCGGCCUGAGAGGGUGACCGGCCACAUUGGGACUGAGAUACGGCCCAGACUCCUACGGGAGGCAGCAGUGGGGAAUAUUGCACAAUGGGCGGAAGCCUGAUGCAGCAACGCCGCGUGCGGGAUGACGGCCUUCGGGUUGUAAACCGCUUUCGCCUGUGACGAAGCGUGAGUGACGGUAAUGGGUAAAGAAGCACCGGCUAACUACGUGCCAGCAGCCGCGGUGAUACGUAGGGUGCGAGCGUUGUCCGGAUUUAUUGGGCGUAAAGGGCUCGUAGGUGGUUGAUCGCGUCGGAAGUGUAAUCUUGGGGCUUAACCCUGAGCGUGCUUUCGAUACGGGUUGACUUGAGGAAGGUAGGGGAGAAUGGAAUUCCUGGUGGAGCGGUGGAAUGCGCAGAUAUCAGGAGGAACACCAGUGGCGAAGGCGGUUCUCUGGGCCUUUCCUGACGCUGAGGAGCGAAAGCGUGGGGAGCGAACAGGCUUAGAUACCCUGGUAGUCCACGCUGUAAACGGUGGGUACUAGGUGUGGGGUCCAUUCCACGGGUUCCGUGCCGUAGCUAACGCUAUAAGUACCCCGCCUGGGGAGUACGGCCGCAAGGCUAAAACUCAAAGGAAUUGACGGGGCCCCGCACAAGCGGCGGAGCAUGCGGAUUAAUUCGAUGCAACGCGUAGAACCUUACCUGGGUUUGACAUGGAUCGGGAGCGCUCAGAGAUGGGUGUGCCUCUUUUGGGGUCGGUUCACAGGUGGUGCAUGGCUGUCGUCAGCUCGUGUCGUGAGAUGUUGGGUUAAGUCCCGCAACGAGCGCAACCCUUGUUCACUGUUGCCAGCACGUUAUGGUGGGGACUCAGUGGAGACCGCCGGGGUCAACUCGGAGGAAGGUGGGGAUGACGUCAAGUCAUCACGCCCCUUAUGUCCAGGGCUUCACGCAUGCUACAAUGGCUGGUACAGAGAGUGGCGAGCCUGUGAGGGUGAGCGAAUCUCGGAAAGCCGGUCUCAGUUCGGAUUGGGGUCUGCAACUCGACCUCAUGAAGUCGGAGUCGCUAGUAAUCGCAGAUCAGCAACGCUGCGGUGAAUACGUUCCCGGGGCU